rnacentral:rRNA from 1 species
AGCUCUUCGAGUGGUGUGGAUGUUUAUUGGGCCUAAAGCAUCCGUAGCUGGCUAAGUUAGUCCCUUGUUAAAUCCACCGAAUUAAUCGUUGGAUUGCGGGGGAUACUGCUUGGCUAGGGGACGAGAGAGGCAGACGGUAUUUUUGGGGUAGGGGUGAAAUCCUAUAAUCCCAGGAAGACCACCAGUGGCGAAGGCUGUCUGCUAGAACGCGCCCGACGGUGAGGGAUGAAAGCUGGGGGAGCGAACC